rnacentral:lncRNA from 1 species
UUACAUUUGUUUCUCCCGAUGUACUGAAUAAAAGGUGUGGUAAGCUGGGGGCUUUGUCUUUGCUGCCCAGAGCAGCACUGAUCAGACCCAAAGCUCAGCUUCUUCUCAGUCUCAUUUUUCUACCUUUCCUGUAAUUCGCCGUGUGCUGCCAUGGCUCGCAGGAGACCAGGACUCACUGCAGAGGUUCUGGUAACGUCCCCUUCCCCUGUCCCCUACAGAGAAAAUCACCAGGGCCCGAGAGUGAUUCUUACAAUCACAGCGACUGCUGAUCAAACUCGUAUUCCUGUCUACGAUUCUGCUGCUCAUGUUUCCUACCCCAUGAGGGCCAGAGUCCGGUGACUGUAGACCCUGCCGCUGCCCGCCAGGCCCUCCCCUCCUGUCC